rnacentral:rRNA from 1 species
GUAGGGUGCGAGCGUUAAUCGGAAUUACUGGGCGUAAAGCGUGCGCAGGCGGUUCGCUAAGACCGAUGUGAAAUCCCCGGGGCUUAACCUGGGAACUGCAUUGGUGACUGGCGGGCUAGAGUAUGGCAGAGGGGGUAGAAUUCCACGUGUAGCAGUGAAAUGCGUAGAGAUGUGGAGGAAUACCGAUGGCGAAGGCAGCCCCCUGGGCCAAUACUGACGCUCAUGCACGAAAGCGUGGGGAGCAAACAGGAUUAGAUACCCUGGUAGUCCACGCCCUAAACGAUGUCAACUAGUUGUCGGGUCUUCAUUGACUUGGUAACGUAGCUAACGCGUGAAGUUGACCGCCUGGGGAGUACGGUCGCAAGAUUA